CAUGCAAGUCGAGCGAACAGACGAGGAGCUUGCUCCUCUGAUGUUAGCGGCGGACGGGUGAGUAACACGUGGGUAACCUACCUAUAAGACUGGAAUAACUCCGGGAAACCGGGGCUAAUGCCGGAUAAUAUGCAGAACCGCAUGGUUCUGCAAUGAAAGACGGUUUUGCUGUCACUUAUAGAUGGACCCGCGCCGUAUUAGCUAGUUGGUAAGGUAAUGGCUUACCAAGGCAACGAUACGUAGCCGACCUGAGAGGGUGAUCGGCCACACUGGAACUGAGACACGGUCCAGACUCCUACGGGAGGCAGCAGUAGGGAAUCUUCCGCAAUGGGCGAAAGCCUGACGGAGCAACGCCGCGUGAGUGAUGAAGGUCUUCGGAUCGUAAAACUCUGUUAUUAGGGAAGAACAAGUGCGUAGGUAACUAUGCGCACCUUGACGGUACCUAAUCAGAAAGCCACGGCUAA
rnacentral:rRNA from 2 species